rnacentral:rRNA from 1 species
UACGAAGGGGGCUAGCGUUGCUCGGAAUUACUGGGCGUAAAGCGCACGUAGGCGGCUUUUUAAGUCAGGGGUGAAAUCCCGGGGCUCAACCCCGGAACUGCCCUUGAAACUGGAGAGCUAGAAUCUUGGAGAGGCGAGUGGAAUUCCGAGUGUAGAGGUGAAAUUCGUAGAUAUUCGGAAGAACACCAGUGGCGAAAGGCGACUCG